GUGCUCGUUUCAGCAGCACAUAUAUUAAGAUUGCAGCGAUACAGAAAGGAUUAGCAUGGCCCCUACACAAGGAUGACAUGCAAAUUCAUGAAGCGUUCCAUAUUUUU